CCCUUAGAUGUCCGGGGCUGCACGCGCGCUACACUGACGGAAUCAGCGUGCUAGAAAACCUUGUUUGACAUGGCUAGGUAACCCGUUGAAAAUCUUUCGUGAUUGGGAUCGGGACUUGCAAAUGUGUCCCUUGAACGAGGAAUUCCCAGUAAGUGCGGGUCAUAAGCUCGCGCUGAUUACGUCCCUGCCCUUUGUACACACCGCCCGUCGCUGCCCGGAACUGAGCCGUUUCGAGAAGACUGGGGACUGCGAACUUUGGGCUGGAAAACAGCUUUUUGUUUGUGGAAACCACUUUAAUCGCAGCGGCUUGAACCGGGCAAAAGUCGUAACA
rnacentral:rRNA from 1 species